UAUAGCACCGCCCCUAUAGGGGUGUCCCGUGCGUGCCGGCACCUAUAGGAGGUACCGUACACAGGGCCGUAAGGCCGCUCCCUUUCCUACAGGGAGCUUCCUAUAGGAGUUCCUCUAUAGGCCCUUUCCCCUACGGAGAGCGCUCCGUGGCCCCAUCUGGCCUACGCGGGCCUGAGAACAUCCUAUAGGCUGCUCCCCCCCUUACAGGACAGGUAUCAGGCGACCACAUCUACAUAAAGACUUGGAACUCUGAACCGCUACAGGAAAAGUGGAAAGGACCCUCCCAGAUUCUUUUGACAACUCACACAGCAAUCAAGGUUGAAGGAAUUAAACCAUGAAUCCACUAUACCAGAGUGCGUUGGGUUUGCGUGGCAAGGUUUUGGUAGCGGAGGGGCUACAGAGGUGGCUUCUGUGAGAAGCUGCCGGAAGCUUCCCCUGUGUCUGAUAGAGCCAAUGCCGGCCGGCUCCAAGACGGACCCGCCGCUGGCCAAGGCCGAGCCAAUCAGCGCCUCUGUGAUAACAUAUUUAAGAAGGGAAAAACACAGUUAGAGAGCGCUUUUGCAGCCGGAGAGAGGAGGGAGAAGAUGUAAGAAACUCUGCAGACGCCCAGGUCAGUGCAGAAGGAGGGGGAGGAGGCGCUCCAGGCACCGGAGCAGACAUCCCCCUGCAGCCCGUGGUGAAGACCACGGUGAGGCAGGCCGUCCCCUUGCAGCCCAUGGAGGAAAGAUGAGGGGGUGUAGAAAUUCCACCUGCAGCCCAUGGAGGACCCCACACCGGAGCAGGUGGAGGCACCUGAAGGAGGCUGUGACCCCAUGGGAAGCCGGUGCUGGAGCAAGCUCCUGGCAGGACCCGCGGCCCCACGGAGAGAGGAGCCCACGCCGGAGCAGGUUUGCUGGCAGGACUUGUGACCCCGUGGGGGACCGACGCUGGAGCAGUCUGCUCCUGAAGGUCUGCACCCCGUGGGAGAGACCCACGCUGGAGCAGUUCGUGAAGGACUGUCUCCCGUGAGAGGGACUCCAUGUUGGAGCAGGGGAACGAUGAGAGGAGUCCUCCCCCUGAGGGUGAAGAAGCUGCAGAAACAACGUGUGAUGAACUGGCCGUAACCCCCAUUCCCUGUCCCCCUGUGCCACUGAGUGGGGGGGCAGAGGUUGAAGCCGGGAGUGAAGUUGAGCCUGGGAAGAUGGGAGGGGUGAGGGCAGGUGUUUUAAGAUUUGAUUUCACUUCUCAUUCCUCUACUCUGUUUUCCUUGGUAAUAAAUUAGAUGAAUUUUCUCUCUAA